rnacentral:rRNA from 1 species
AGAGUUUGAUCCUGGCUCAGGACGAACGCUGGCGGCGUGCUUAACACAUGCAAGUCGAACGUAAGGCCCCUUCGGGGGUACACGAGUGGCGAACGGGUGAGUAACACGUGAGUAACCUGCCCUAACUCUGGGAUAACUCCUGGAAACAGGUGCUAAUACCGGAUACCAACUUCCUAGGCACUAUGAAGUUUGAAAGCUCCGGCGGUUAGGGAUGGACUCGCGGCCUAUCAGCUUGUUGGUAGGUAACGGCUCACCAAGGCUCCGACGGGUAGCCGGCCUGAGAGGGCGACCGGCCACAUUGGACUGAGAUACGGCCCAAACUCCUACGGGAGGCAGCAGUGGGGAAUAUUGCACAAUGGAGCAAGUCUGAUGCAGCAACGCCGCGUGCGGGAUGACGGCCUUCGGGUUGUAAACCGCUUUAGCAGGGACGAAGCGAAAGUGACGGUACCUGCAGAAGAAGCACCGGCUAACUACGUGCCACAGCCGCGGUGAUACGUAGGGUGCGAGCGUUGUCCGGAUUUAUUGGGCGUAAAGAGCUUGAGGCGGUUUGUCGCGUCGGGAGUGAAAACUCAGUGCUUAACACUGAGCCUGCUUCCGAUAGGGUAGACUUGAGGAAGGUAGGGGA